CCCCUGCUUCCCGGCCCGGCGCACACCCGGGCAUCCGUAUCCGACCGCCGGAGCCAGGUGCGUGCGAGAACACUCCUCGAGCGUUGAGGCCCCGAUCGCCUCAGCGGCUCGGGGGCCUCCUCAUCACCCUCCCGGCCUGGGUCUCCGGCCUCGCAGGCGUGACGGACGGACACCGGCCCGCCUGACCCUCGUAGUGCCAGUGCGCCAUCGACAACAGCCACGAAGCUGUGAAAACAGGCACUAAAUGGCCCGUGAGGACCCUUGUUCGCAGGCAACAGCCGGUUUGCAGCUGGUGGUUUCCGUGGGAUCGGUGUCCUCUGUAAUACUACGGACUCUAUUCCACGCACUAAAAUACCUGACUGUGGUGCAAAUGCCUGCCAAUCCCCCCCCCCCCCACUUUCCUCCUCCCAGUGGGAGGCAUCAUCCGGGUCUCGGAGCUGGAGCCCCUCUUCCCCAUUCUUGUGCAGUCUCCAGCACGGACAUCUUCCGGACCAGGAUUUGCAAAUCUGACUUCUUGCUCUGCCGCCCUUCCGGGGGCGUCGGACGUGCACAGGCGUGGCUGCUCCGGAAUGUCGGGCAGAGUGGGAGGCCACGGGGGUCCACGUGGGGGGGUGUAUCAGCCUAUACACACGAAAGCCACAGCCCCACUCGGACGUGUCUGGCCAGCGCCGGCUGGUGCCCGGCGAACGGCCGGGCUUCGGUCCUGCUGUGUCCCUGCGAUGCUCUGUGUGGCCAACAACUCACCUCACGUCUCUGAGAUGGGAGCGUGGCCGCGCCCGGGGCUGCCCUAGCGCAGGGCCACACACAGGUGGCUGACCCCAGCAGGUGCUUCUUCUCUAGAGCCCACGUGUCUGAGAGCGGGCUGUCAAGCGGGGCGGUUCUGGGGCUGGGGAGAGGUUCCGUCCCAGUCCUUCUAGCUUCUGGUGCCGCUGACUCCGGGGCUUGUAAUGCGUCCCUCCCGCCUCUGCCUCCGUCUUCCUCCGCUUCUUCCUCUGCGUGUCUGUGUCCCAACCCCUCCUCCUACAAGGACCUGUCACUGGGUCAGGACCCACCUGACUUGCGGGCUCUCGUCUUUACCAAUUGCACCUGCAAAGACCUUAUUCCCAACAAGGUCGCCUUCCGAAGUUUCCAGGUGCCCACGAUCUUGGCGGGGGGACCUUCUCACUGGCCGGCCCACGGCCACGGAAGGCAUCGCUGAGCCAUUUGGUGGCUGUGGCUCCCGAGCCUUCUGACCCUCUCCUGGAUCCCCCCCACCGUCCUGCUCUGGGGCUCCUGUUGCCCUGGGCUUUCUGGGUGGAAAGUGCCACCGCGCAGAGGCGCAGGCCCCUGCCAUCCCCAGGCCGCCCUCCAGGCUGUAUCGAGAGCCCUGCCUGUGGAGAGCCUCACCCCUAGAAACCAGCCUGGUGAGACGAAGGUCUGUGUGUGCAGGACAGGCCGUCUUGAGGGCCUGGCCACCUAGUGGUCGGGCUCCUGAGCCGGCAGGCAGGUGAUGCGGCUCCCGGGCCGGCUGUGGGCGCCUGUGAUGUGCGCCCAGGGGCGUGGCUGGCAAUCAGUCGCCCUCACCUCCUCAGUGCCCCGGGGCUGACCCUCGGGUGGACCCAGGACCCAGGCUGAGGUUCGGGGGAGGUGCACAUGGCAGGCACCCGCACCAAGGCAGACCUGCAGACAGGACGCUUCCCCGUGGCUUCUAGGUGCCGUGGGUCACAACAUGGGUAUUGAGGGCAGCUGGGACACCGUGUUCCUGGUGCCCUAACAUGUGGGGGCCUCCCCGAGCUCCUUCGGGGGGUCUGUGAGUCUCGGGACCAGCACUAAACCCCUCCAGCUGGAGGAGCUCGGGGCCCAGGGCCGGCACGACCAGGAGGCGGCCGUGGCCGACUGUCAGGGCACAGAGAGCCCGUCCCUGCCCUGCUGCCCCCCCCGGGCUCUGAGGAGGGGCCCUUCCCCCCGGAAAACCGCGCCCCCAGAGACAAGGUUGGGGCUGUGCGGGAUGUCCUGCUGCCUCCUUUCCCAAGCCUCAGGGGUGCCCCGGGCCCGUCCAGGGAAACAGGCAGGCCCCAGACACUGUGACGGCCCGUCCAGUGGAUGACGGCCACCGGUCGGGGAGCCACAUAAGAAAGCCACGCCAGCAGGGCUUUUGGAGACCUGGCGACCCCAGGAAACGGCAGCCGUGUCAGGUGUCAAUGCAGGGAUGCAGAGACCAGCCGGGCCCCUGAGACCGGUCGCCCGACCCCACUCCUGCCACCGCUGUGCUCAGGCCGCGGGGCCAGGGUGGCGGCUGCGUGGGGACCGGGCGCCCGUGGAGCGAGCUUCAGGCUCCACGUGCACACGAAGCCGUGUGUGGCAUCGACGGCUGGUGCCGACAUCCACGUGGGCCACGGAGCACAGGCGUCCUUCUCUGGGCCCGGCUGGGGUGGCGGGGGUGGGGGCUCUUGCCGCCUUUGCCUCCCACGUUCCCUGCCCCCUCUCGAGCGAGCGAGCAGGGGAGUGAAUACCCUGGUGAGUGACCCAGGCAGCCCCGCGGGGAGGGGCUCGGGAAAGUCUUCCGGGUGCGGCGGGCGUGCGCACAGGACCCUCCUGCGUGGGGCAGGCUCCUUUUUCCGACGUGACCGGAAUCCCGGGUAAGCGUUCACUCGGGCUGGGGCCCUGCUGGGGCCGGGGCUGCGGGACUGGUGGGGGGUCUGGGCGGUCUGUGGGGGGCCGAGGUGAGCCCCCCUCGCCGCGCAUCCUUCCAGAGCGCAGCCGCCGGGCCCUGAGAUAGGCCGGUGCCCGGAUCCGCACGCCCUCCCCGACUUCUUCUGCCUGCAGCUGGGUCAGGGACUCCCGGACCGGACCUGUGGGCGCUGGAGGCCCGAGGAGGAGGCCUCGGACCCCCAGGACCCCCCAUCCCGUUUCCUCUUCCAGGCAGCCCCUCCUUUGGGGCCUCUGCUGCAGGGGGAGGGUGGGGGAGGCUUCCGGGCUUCUCAGAAGAGUCUUUCAUCUCUGUGUCUGUUGGGUCCCUGGACAGGCCUGGGUCCCCACCGUCCCACCUCACUCCUGUCCUCCCUGCUCCCCCUCCUCAUUCCCCUUCUCGUGCCCCCCGCCCCCCCCCACUCUCUGGGCCCCUCCACACCCUCCCGUGCCCCUACUUCCCUCUCCGCUCCCCUACCCGCUGCCCUGUCCUUCUCUUGGGGACCCCACCCCCAGGCCAAACCCCUGCUUCUCACAGGAUCCACUCACCCAAAGGGCCUCAACCAUAAGUGAAGAUUCACUGAAGCCAUGAACGUUUUUAUUAGAACUAAAUUGAUGUACACGAUCAGUUCAAGAGCAGAGGGAAGGGAAAAAGCCUCUGUGCGUUCACUGCUUUUCAUCAGAAACGUCUGCAUAUCAACAGCCUCUCCCGGAGCCCCGAAUGGGCACUUUCCCAAGCAGGUGGGGAGAGGAGGUUUCGUGGCCGUGCACCUUCUUCCCUCCAGCUUGCAAACUCCCGCCUGAUUUCAUCACGGGCACUGCACGGCGGGACCCCGGGGGGUGAGGGGGUCACCUGUGCUGGAGAAGAGUCCCUCUGGCUGCCGGCCCCGGGUCGGCGCCCAGACCCUUUCCUGCCUCCGUUCUCCCUGCUGGGCUGAGAGGCGCCCACGGUCCCAGUCCUGAGAUUCCCCGAGUCGUAGCUUCUGGGAGGCUCAGCCGCAGGGGCCGUCGGUGGGAAGCCGGGGGUGCAGUGGCCGGGUGUCCUCUCCCAUCUCUGAUGGGGGGGGGGGGUGCUCCCAUCGCUCCUUCUGUAGCGUCAGCCCCAUAAGUGGCCGGGCUCCUGGGUCCCUUCAGCCGACAGAGGGUGCGUCUCCAGGAUGCCCUAACACCCGGGCCAAAGCCUCAGCACCUCCCACCCCUGCAUUAAAGUCCCUGUUUGACGGAUGGGCUCCUUCCUGGGGCAACCGGGCAGCCCCAACCACAGACCGGUGUUUGAAAAGCGGACAAAGAAACAUUUUUGUGCUUUAAGGCAAAGGAAAUGUGAACUAGAAGUCAGAGUCUCAGGGGACUGCGUUCACUUCAGCUCAGCCCGUGGAUGGUGCGAGAGCUCCUUCUGAGUCCAGGGGGGCGGUGGGGGCCGGGGGACUACGCAUCACCAGGAGUUAGAACAUACAGGGACCUGCACGGGGUGGGGGUGGGGGGGUGCCCACGGCCACGGCCACAGCCACAGCCACCGCCACGCUGUGACCGCUCAACUGUGCGGGAGCGUCUCCACAGCGCCCCCACAGGGCAUGGGCUGUAACAGCAGCAGUGGUCGGGGGGCCGCCCUCCUUCCUCCCAGCCUGUGAUCUUUUGGGGUUCUCUGGGUCCAGUCAGCCACGCCCCCCCGGGAUCCUCGGGGCAGGCCUCGGUGGGGGGACACAGCUCUCACCAGGCAGUGGGGGCAGAAGUGAAUGGAGGCGAGGGAGCUCCGUGGCCCUGCCCCAUGAAGAAGGUGGUCUCUCCAUCUCGGUUAUGGUAGGUCAAGGGCCUCGUCCCGCUGUGGUCCUGCUGCCUGUGGGCCCAGCUCGGCCCCGCCGACCCUCGUCCUCGGCACGAGCCAGGACCCGACAGCGCGCUAUCAAAACUCGCCGCUUCCCGGAAGGACGGGGCGUGGGGGGUGCUUGUCGAGACACCUUCCGCGUCCCGUGGGCUACAAACCCUCACAUUGGCGGUUUCGAUAAUGCACGCUAUGCAACAGCGAGUUUUCUAGGUUUCAGCCGAGAUACUUUCUGUUUUGAACCACGGGCAAUUAGCUCAGUCUGCCCGCCAGGGGCUGCUACCAUUUCACCUUCAGUUGGGAAACUUCUGGAUGUGUGCCCAGGGCUUUGGCUAGAAGCUGACUCUUGAGGUCUCGCUCACCGCUGGCUUUUUGCCUCCAUUAUGGUCUUACAAUUUGGGCAAGAUCUGAAAUAGAGGGGGCUUUUGGGGGAGUUGGGUGGGAGCUG